rnacentral:snRNA from 1 species
GUGCUUGCUUCGGCAGCACAUAUACAAAACUUGGAACGAUACAAAGAAGAUUAGCAUGGCCCCUG